rnacentral:lncRNA from 1 species
GACAAAUGUCAAUAAUGAUGGAUGAAUAGAGGAAACAGACUUAGAUACUAGACACAGACAAGCAGGAGAGGGAUGACCAAGGCGGUGGUUCCAGAUGGUAUUGAAAACAGUGGUGUGACAGAUAACGGAGGACUUGCGAACUGGUGACAUGAAGUAGAGGCCACCACUUUGCUUACCCCAUCCAAUCAUCUUCCUUGAAC